CUUUCGGGUGNNAAGUACNUUCAGNNGGNNNNNNGGNNNNNGGCUNANNNNNNCAGCAAUUGACGUUNNNCGCAGNAGNAGCNCCGGNNUAACUCCGUGNCAGCAGCCGCNGUAAUANGNNGGGUGCAAGCGUUAAUCGGAAUUACUGGGCGUAAAGCGCNCGCAGGCGGUCUGUCAAGUCGGAUGUGAAAUCCCCGGGCUCAACCUGGGAACUGCAUUCGAAACUGGCAGGCUAGAGUCUUGUAGAGGGGGGUAGAAUUCCAGGUGUAGCGGUGAAAUGCGUAGAGAUCUGGAGGAAUACCGGUGGCGAAGGCGGCCCCCUGGACAAAGACUGACGCUNNNNNNGCGAAAGCGUGGGGAGCAAACAGGAUUAGAUACCNUGGUAGUCCACGCCGUAAACGAUGUCGACUUGGAGGUUGUGCCCUUGAGGNGUGGCUUCCGGAGCUAACGCGUUAAGUCGACCGCCUGGGGAGUACGGCCGCAAGGUUAAAACUCAAAUGAAUUGACGGGGGCCCGCACAAGCGGUGGAGCAUGUGGUUUAAUUNGAUGCAACGCGAAGAACCUUACCUACUCUUGACAUCCAGAGAACUUUCCAGAGAUGGAUUGGUGCCUUCGGGAACUCUGAGACAGGUGCUGCAUGGCUGUCGUCAGCUCGUGUUGUGAAAUGUUGGGUUAAGUCCCGCAACGAGCGCAACCCUUCUCCUUUGUUGCCAGCGGUCCGGCCGGGAACUCAAAGGAGACUGCCAGUGAUAAACUGGAGGAAGGUGGGGAUGACGUCAAGUCAUCAUGGCCCUUACGAGUAGGGCUACACACGUGCUACAAUGGCGCAUACAAAGAGAAGCGACCUCGCGAGAGCAAGCGGACCUCAUAAANUGCGUCGUAGUCCGGAUUGGAGUCUGCAACUCGACUCCAUGAAGUCGGAAUCGCUAGUAAUAGUAGAUCAGAACGNUACGGUGAAUCCCUCCCGGGCUUUGUACCCACCAGUAAUCACUAGAGGGGNGCCGGUUCAAC
rnacentral:rRNA from 1 species